AGUGCAAGGUGCUGGUGGUGGCACCCGUCCAGUGACACCCCUGGGGACACCGGGGACAUUGGGGACAUCGGGGACAACGGGGGACAGAGGGGACAUCGAGGACAGGCCACCCCGGGGGUCCCAAACGCGCCCAGGGACCCCCUUGGGGGGCUCGAGCUGCUGCUUGUGGGUGCCAAGGGAGGGGACAGAGGGGACACGGGGAUGUCCCCAAGCUUGGGGACACUUGGGGACAACCCCCAAGUGUCCUCGAGUGUCCCCAAGUGUCCCCGAGUGUCCCCAAGCUUGGGGACAUCAAGGAUGUGCCACCCCGGGGGUCCCAAAUGCGCCCAGAGACCCCCUUGGGGGGCUCGAGCUGCUCCUUCAGGGUGCCAAGGGAGGGGACAGAGGGGACACGGGGAUGUC